GGGAAUAUAGCUCAGUUGGUAGAGCAUUGCCUUUGCAAGGCAAGGGCCAAGGGUUCGAAUCCCUUUAUUUCCA
rnacentral:tRNA from 1 species